GCUGAUAAAUUCUCCCAGGACCCGGAUCCCUUCUAUCACUGCUCGAUUUUCUUCUGGACCUGAUGUAGGUGACAAUGAUGACUGUGGAUUUCACAUAAAUUUCCUUGCUUCAAAUCACAAAGCAGGACAAGGCGAUGAGAAGCACUGAUGGAUGCCUGAUGGGAGGCCACAAGAUGACGAAGUUCCAUGCAGAGGCCCUCAGUGGUAACACCAUGUGGGAGCUGAGCUUUGUCUAACAGCAAUCUCCAUCGCCAACUCUGCCCAGCGGCAAUGGUAUAAAAAUGCGGGCCUCCAACUGGCUACCAUCAGUCCAUAAGUCAGAGCCAUCGUAGCUACGCUGAUGUCAUGAAGCCGCCACUGCCGUAACUCUCUAGUAACAGCGCCAGUCAACAGCCGACCCUGCCAGCGCGAGGCCAGCUUGGACGCCGCAGCCUGCAGCGUGGACUACGUCUCCAAGGCUGCACCCAGCCAGUGCUUGCUAGCAUUGGUGUCUAGGGGACCGGGCUGAAAGUGAUGUAUAAAUAUUGCUUGUUUUCCAUGCGCUGCGGGAGGUUCCCACACUCUGACAGCUGCACAGACUAUGGUCAGUUUAAUGUGAUGAUGACUGAAAAGGCUGUAGCUUAUUUUAAGGUCCUCUUUCAGCAACUGCGUGAAGUGUGUAAGGAAACCAUGAUAAUAUAGAUGACCUAUGGGCACAGGACUGAACAUAAGACCUUCAAAAUGUGUAAGCCAUAUUAUGAUUUUGGUAUGUUGGAAUGGCUCGUGUUACAUAUAAUUACAGUAAGAUAAAACUGAACAUUGCUGGCAGAAAUGAGGGCUAGAUAGGUUAGAAUUAUAUGAGCAUGACUUAUUUUUCUGUUCCUGUACCAGAUCUUUCAUAAGUAUGCUAAAAUUGGUAGUCUUUGUAAGACAGGAGAAGUCACCAUAUUUGUUGCUUACACUGGUGUACUAUGUGUGUUACUUUGUAAAAUUUUCAUUGGUUUCAGACUUAGAACUGUACUCUCAAAGUACAGAAAUAGGUGUAGCACAUUCCACUGUUCCAGC